AUGGAGUACGAGCCGGCGGUUUACUGCGGCCGUUGCGGGAGGAAGGCGCCGCGCUGGAUUUCUUGGAGUGUGGCGAACCCUGGAAGAAGAUAUUAUGCAUGCGUUGAUGCCCAGGUAAGCUCUGUUCUUCAACAUGGGUUCAUUGAGUGGCAUGAUAACCCAACAACUCCAUUCCUGCGUGUUUUGCUUGGAGAUCUCCGAGAUAGGGUAUGGAAGCUAGAGGAUGAUGCAGCAGCAAUGUGUAAAGAUGGAGAUGCAGGUGCUGGUGCAUUCUGUAUGGAAGUACAUAAGAGAAAUGAGCAAAGUGCAGGGGAUGUUCCUGGUGCAUCAAGUAGUGAUAAUUUUGGUAGGAAAGAGUUGAUGCUGGUGUGUGGCAUUGUGAUAUUUGUGUCAGGUUUAGUUGUAGGGAUGAUCUUAUCCUAG
rnacentral:rRNA from 1 species